GAUGAACGCUGGCGGCGUGCCUAAUACAUGCAAGUCGAGCGACCGCACGAGAAACUUGCUUUUCUGAUGUUAGCGGCGGACGGGUGAGUAAAACGUGGAUAACCUACCUACAAGACUGGGGGAACUUCGGGAAACCGGCGCUAAUAUCGUAUAAUAUUUUGCACCGCAUGAUUCAAAAGUGAAAGACGGUCUUGCUUUUACUUAUAGAUGGAUCCGCAAUGCAUUAGCUUUUUGGUAAGGUAACGGCUUACCAAGGCAACGCAGCAUAGCCGACCUGAGAGGGUAGGUGGCCACACUGGACCUGAAACGCGACACGGACUCCACCGGGAGGCAGCGGAAGGGAGUCUUCCGCUAUGGGAGGGGGCCUGACGGAACAACGCCGCGUGGGUGAUAAAGUGCUUCGGAUAGUAAAACUCUGUUAUUAGGGAAGAACAUAUGUGUAAGUAACUGUGCACAUCUUGAAGGUACCUAAUCAGAAAGCCACGGCUAACUACGUG
rnacentral:rRNA from 1 species